rnacentral:rRNA from 1 species
UCUGACCGAGCACGCCGCGUGAGUGAAGAAGGUUUUCGGAUCGUAAAGCUCUGUUGUAAGAGAAGAACGAGUGUGAGAGUGGAAAGUUCACACUGUGACGGUAUCUUACCAGAAAGGGACGGCUAACUACGUGCCAGCAGCCGCGGUAAUACGUAGGUCCCGAGCGUUGUCCGGAUUUAUUGGGCGUAAAGCGAGCGCAGGCGGUUAGAUAAGUCUGAAGUUAAAGGCUGUGGCUUAACCAUAGUACGCUUUGGAAACUGUUUAACUUGAGUGCAAGAGGGGAGAGUGGAAUUCCAUGUGUAGCGGUGAAAUGCGUAGAUAUAUGGAGGAACACCGGUGGCGAAAGCGGCUCUCUGGCUUGUAACUGACGCUGAGGCUCGAAAGCGUGGGGAGCAAACAGGAUUAGAUACCCUGGUAGUCCACGCCGUAAACGAUGAGUGCUAGGUGUUAGACCCUUUCCGGGGUUUAGUGCCGCAGCUAACGCAUUAAGCACUCCGCCUGGGGAGUACGACCGCAAGGUUGAAACUCAAAGGAAUGGACGGA